rnacentral:ncRNA from 1 species
CUGGUUGAUCCUGCCAGUAGUUAUAUGCUUGUCUCAAAGAUUAAGCCAUGCAUGUCUAAGUACACACGAAUUAAAAGUGAAACCGCAAAAGGCUCAUUAUAUCAGUUAUGGUUCCUUAGAUCGUUAACAGUUACUUGGAUAACUGUGGUAAUUCUAGAGCUAAUACAUGCAAUUAAAACACGGACCUUAUGGGACGUGUGCUUUUAUUAGGCUAAAACCAAGCGAGAAAAGAAAAGAAACUAUUGUUAAGAAGCACUCUCAAGUAAAAAUACCCGAUUUUCGGGAAGCGUGGCAGAAAACCUAUAUAGGGUUUUCAUUUGGUGUAGUUCGAAGAGCUCCACUGAUGCAGAGGGCGGCUGUUCGCUGAACCUUGCCCAGCUGGCAAGGCACUGUCGCUGAAGGAGAGCCUGUAUC